GGACGAACGCUGGCGGCGUGCCUAACACAUGCAAGUCGAGCGAUGAAGUUCCUUCGGGAACGGAUUAGCGGCGGACGGGUGAGUAACACGUGGGCAACCUGCCUCAUAGAGGGGAAUAGCCUCCCGAAAGGGAGAUUAAUACCGCAUAAGAUUGUAGCUUCGCAUGAAGUAGCAAUUAAAGGAGCAAUCCGCUAUGAGAUGGGCCCGCGGCGCAUUAGCUAGUUGGUGAGGUAACGGCUCACCAAGGCGACGAUGCGUAGCCGACCUGAGAGGGUGAUCGGCCACAUUGGGACUGAGACACGGCCCAGACUCCUACGGGAGGCAGCAGUGGGGAAUAUUGCACAAUGGGGGAAACCCUGAUGCAGCAACGCCGCGUGAGUGAUGACGGCCUUCGGGUUGUAAAGCUCUGUCUUUGGGGACGAUAAUGACGGUACCUGAGGAGGAAGCCACGGCUA
rnacentral:rRNA from 1 species